AGUUGUUAUACUUUGGCUAGGAGAUAACGAUUUUUGAAUUGUUUCAACCUCUAAACAUUUGAAUUUCCUGUCCAGAUUUCAUCUCUGAAUUAGCCAGUAACGUUAGAAUUUUAUAUACUUAUGUAGAUAAAUUCAAUAAUGUAAACAAGAAUCAAUGUUAAGAAAAUUAAUAACUUAAAUUUUUAUUCUUAUUAGAUUUACGUCAGUCACCAAGCAUUAAAAGAAGAACAAAUAUAGCUUCUCCUGUUUAUGACAGAAACGCUUAUAGUCCAGUUCAUAAAAGAAAAAGAUUGUCACCGUUAACGAAAAAGAUACGCAAUGAAAAGGGGAAAAAUAGGCGCAGACAUUCAUCAAGUUCUUCCGAUUCAGAUUCUACAGCUUCUGACUCAGAUUCAGAGUCUGGAUCUUCAUCUUCCGAAAGUUCAUCGCAAUCCAGAGAAAAUACUCCUCCUAAGCGAUUGCGAAUUUCUGACCGGUUAUCAGCUAACGAAAGAAAAGGAUUGAAAAAAGAUUUGCCGAAAAAGAGGUCUCCAAUUUCAAUAGAGUUAAAAAAGCCGACUACAGUUGGAAUUUCUGCAUUAACAUCUCCUUCUCAAGCAACAACAAGCGAAAAGGAUUCAAAAAAAUCACGACGAGAGGAACUUCUAAAACAAUUAAGAGCGGUUGAGGAUGCAAUUGCGAAGAAACGUUCAAAACUUGCAUAAUUUAAAUGUUUAGAAGACAUCAACUUAAUAGUUGCAAAAGAUGAACUAAUUUUUAUUUCAAUUACAUAUGUAUUUUCAAAUUAAAGCUGCAUUGACAAAAUUAUUAAAUAUAUAUAUUAAUUUAAUAUACUAAA